rfam:Neurospora crassa OR74A unplaced genomic scaffold supercont12.8, whole genome shotgun sequence.
UACCUAAUUAAUUCUACUAAUAGUUAUAUACUUAUUUUAAAAAUUAAACUAUAUAUAUUUAAAUUUAAGCAAUUAAACUACGAAAUUACAAAUAGCUUAUUAAAUCAAUUAUAGUUUAUUUAAUAGUACCUUACUAUAUAGAUAACUGUAGUAAUUCUAAAGCUAAUAUAUAUUAAAAACCCCGACUUCGGAAGGGGUAUAUUUAUUAAAUUAAAAACUAAUACCCUUCGGGGCUAACUAAUAAUUUAUAAUAACUUCUCGAAUUAUAUAACUUUACACUAACGAUAAUUUAUUCAAAUUUCUACCCUAUUAACUUUCGAUAGUUAAAUCUUAGCUAACUAUAGUAAUAAUAGGUAAUAGAGGGUUAGGGCUCAACCCUAGAGAAGGAGCUUAAGAAAUGGCUACUAUAUCUAAGGAAGGUAAUAAGUACGUAAAUUACCUAAUCCCAAUAUAGGGAAGUAAUAAUAAUAAAUAUUAAUACAAGGCUCUUUUAAAUCUUAUAAUUAGAAUAAGUACAAUUUAAAUCCUUUAAUAAAGAAUAAUUAGAGGGCAAAUUUAGUACUAGCAGCUAUAGUAAUUCUAAUUCCAAUAACGUAUAUUAAAAUUAUUAAAAUUAAAAAACUCGUAAUUAAACUUUAGACUCGGCCCGUCGGUCCGCCUCACCGCGUAUACUAACUAGGUCGGGCCUUUUUUUCUAGAAAACCGUAUACCCUUUACUAGGUAUAUCGGGGAACUAGGACUUUUACUAUAAAUAAAUUAAAUUGUUUAAAGAAGGCCUAUAUUCGAAUAUAUUAGUAUAAAAUAAUAGAAUAGAAUAUAUAGUUCUAUUUUAUUAAUUUCUAGGACCGCCGUAAUAAUUAAUAGGGAUAGUCGGGGGUAUUAAUAUUCAAUUGUUAGAAGUGAAAUUCUUAGAUUUAUUAAAGACUAACUACUACAAAAAUAUUUACUAAGGAUAUUUUUAUUAAUUAGGAAUAAAAGUUAGGGGAUUGAAGACGAUUAAAUACUAUUGUAGUUUUAAUUAUAAAUUAUACUAAUUAGGGAUCGGAUAGUAUUAUUUUUUAACCCGUUCGGCACCUUAUAAUAAAUUAAAAUAUUUAGGCUCCUAGGGGAAUAUAAUCGCAAGGUUGAAACUUAAAAAAAUUAAUAGAAGGGUACUACUAAGGGUAGAGCCUACGGUUUAAUUUAACUUAAUACAGGGAAACUUACUAGGUCUAAAUACAAUAAGGAUUAAUAGAUUAAGAAUUCUUUCUUAAUUUCGUAGGUAGUAGUAUAUAGCUAUUCUUAAUUAAUAAAAUAAUUUAUUUAUUUAAUUAUAAUAACGAACAAAACUUUAACCUACUAAAUAGCCCGUAUUACUUUAGUAAUACACUAACUUCUUAAAGGGAUUAUCGGUUUAAACCGAUAGAAAUUUAAAGUAAUAAUAGGUCUAUAAUACCCUUAAAUAUUCUAAGCCGCACGCACGCUAUACUAAUAUAGCCAGCGAAUACUCCCUUGGCUAGAAGGUCCGGGUAAUCUUAUUAAAUUGUAUUGUAUUAGGGAUAGAGUAUUGCAAUUAUUACUCUUUAAUAAAAAAUCCCUAAUAAAUGUAAAUUAUUAACUUAUAUUAAUUAUAUCCCUGCCCUUUAUAUAUACCGCCUAUUACUAUUACCAAUUGAAUAGCUUAAUAAGGCUUCCGGACUAGCUUAGGGAGGUCGGCAACAACUACCUAAAGCCGGAAAACUAUCCAAAUUCAGUUAUUUAGAAGAAAUAAAAAUUAUAAUAAAGUUUCUAUUAAUAAACUAGCGGAGGGAUUAUUA